CAAAACCCAGCUUGUAACACCUUCGAAACAGUCUUGAAAGUAGCAAAAUGGCCUCCAUAGGAUGAUCCAUGACAGUGUGUAAGGAUCCCUUCAACUUCUUCUUCAUAUACUACUCUUCUAUAGAGUUGAUCUCUAAAAAGGAUGUAGAGGUAAGGCUCAUCCCAAUAGUAUCUCUUCACAUCUUUAUAGAACUUCUUCUUGGCAUAUCCUUCAAGACCCAUUGGCUCUCUUCCACAAGCUAAGUAGUUUACCAAAUCAACAUACCAAGGACCUUUCUCUUCAUUUGCCUUCACCUCUUCAAGCUUCUUUCCAGUGUCACAAACUACUACCACUGCUCUAAUUGCCAUGAUUUGUUCUUCUGGAAGCCCUUCAUCAAUGGGGAUCCCACAC
rnacentral:lncRNA from 1 species